GUCUUAUUGAAAAUAAUUUUAAGUCAAUCUGCCCAAUGAGUUAUUUAAUGGCUGCAGUAUAACUGACUGUACAAAGGUAGCAUAAUCAAUUGGUUUUUAAAUGAAAUCUAGUAUGAAAGGAUUAAUGAAAUAUAUACUGUCUCAUAUAUAUAUUAUAAAUUUAAAUUUUUAAUAAAAAUGUUAAAAUUUUUUUAUGGGACGAUAAGACCCUAUAGAAUUUUAUAUAAAUUUAUUUUUGUAAUUAAUAUAAAAUAUAAAUUUAUAUUUAAUUGGGAGGAUUAUUAAAUUUAAUAAACUUUAAUUUUAAUAAACUUUAAUUUAAGAAAAUUAUUUUUGAUCUUUAAUUUAAAAUUAAUAGAAUAAAUUACCUUAGGGAUAACAGCGUUAUAUUUUUUUAUAGAUCUUAUAGAAAAAAAUGAUUGCGACCUCGAUGUUGAAUUAAGAUAAAUUUUAAAUGUAGAAGUUUAAUAAUUAAGUCUGUUCGACUUUUAAAAUCUUACAUGAUUUGAGUUCAAAUCGACGUAAGU
rnacentral:rRNA from 1 species